UAAAUCACAAGGUCCAGAGUUUAU
rnacentral:siRNA from 1 species